CUUGAAUUUCGACUUAAAGAGCACCGAGACUUGAUAGAGAUAAACUAAUUCGACAUCUAAACUCUGAACGAUAGAAAUCAUUCGUGAUGAUUUAGAAAUAAUUUGACUUAUUCUUCAAACUAUAGAAGAGUUAGGGAGUUGUUAAGUGACAAAAUUAGCAGGAUAUCUUCCGUUAGAGGUCUCACCUGAGUGAUUCUGUCGGCAUUGAUCUGGUCAAUUGUCGGCGCACGACUUUUCGUUUUUAACGCGUCAGGUUGUUUCACCAUUUCGGACGAUUUAAAAGCACAUUAAAACAGGUAUUAAACGGUAAAAUAAUCGCAAAUAACACUGAAAAAAUUACACAUGCUCCCUCAUGCUCGAAAUUUUCGUGCCAAAACGCAAGUAGUAAACAAACGGAUGACCGGACUGAUGAUUGAUGCAAUUACGGGAGGUGGAUGAUGGAAGACACCGUUUUUCGCAAGAAGAAGAAUAAUUUUUCAAACAAAUAUUGUUGAAACUUGCGUGUUGUCCGUCGUAAUUUUCAGAGAAUGUGGAUUUGUCUUGCUCCUAAUUGUAAUGAUAAGUCUUGUAUAUCAAUUUCUGCACUAAAUGUUCCAGUGUGUGAGUCCUAAGCGCUUUUUCAAACAACUUUAACAAUGUGACAAAUGGGUGCAUACAUGGAAGGUUCAUGAAUGAAGGCCGAGUCUUGAACUCCCAAAAGAAGAAGACAUGACUGAAGGUGUCAAGAAGGCAAAUGCAGCCUCCUCGAGAGAUAAUGAAGUUUCUUCAGGAGGGCAUUCCAAGAAAAAAGCGAAAGGGGAGAAAUUUCCAACCAAAGUUAGUAGUAAUUUCCUUCUCAUAAAUGAUAAUCUUUUUUCUCUUUCUCCCUCACUCACCCCAGAGAAUGAACCAAAAUUGUAUUUGAAUCCUGCUGUUUUUCUCUACUGAGUUGGCAGUUAUCUACUUUUCAUUUCCAAGCAGCUGCCCUUCCUCCUACCCUGCUAUCCGAGAUUGAUCUUAGAUUGUCUGACAGGAAUCAUACAGAUGUGCAUAGAAAAACGUCA
rnacentral:lncRNA from 1 species